rnacentral:rRNA from 1 species
CACCCCGGGUUCCAGCGCCAUCACUGAUCGCCGUACUAACGAGGCC